CCUACGGGAGGCAGCAGUGGGGAAUAUUGGACAAUGGGGGCAACCCUGAUCCAGCGAUGCCGCGUGAGUGAUGAAGGCCCUAGGGUUGUAAAACUCUUUCGUCAGGGAAGAUAAUGUCGGUACCUGAAGAAGAAGAUCCGGCUAACUCCGUGCCAGCAGCCGCGGUAAUACGGAGGGGUCUAGCGUUAUUCGGAAUUACUGGGCGUAAAGCGAGCGUAGGCGGAUUUGUAAGUUGGAGGUGAAAUCCCAGAGCUUAACUCUGGAACUGCCUUCAAAACUACAUUUCUUGAGUUUGGUAGAGGAGAGUGGAAUUCCUAGUGUAGAGGUGAAAUUCGUAGAUAUUAGGAGGAACACCAGUGGCGAAGGCGACUCUCUGGGCCAAUACUGACGCUGAGGUUCGAAAGCAUGGGUAGCGAACAGGAUUAGAUACCCUGGUAGUCCAUGCAGUAAACGAUGAGUGCUAGAUGUUGGGAAUUUAAAUUUCCAGUAUCGCAGUUAACGCGUUAAGCACUCCGCCUGGGAAGUACGGCCGCAAGGCUAAAACUCAAAUGAAUUGACGG
rnacentral:rRNA from 1 species